GUAACAAACAUAUAUACAUUUUGAAGUGUAAUUUUAAGUUUUAAAUGUUAAAGUUUUAAAAUCUCUUGCUGUCUUUUAUGUAUUUUUGCACUAUUUCAAAUAUGUUGGAAUUGGUAUUAUCUGAAAGAGAGGGGUUGCCAUAUAGGAUCAGGUCAAUUGUAACAUUUUGAUUAAGGUGGUGUAGAUUAUUUUUUAGAAUUUUUCUUGGGGCAGAGUAGGCUGGACAUAUGAAAUAAUAAUGGUAAUUAUCUUCGUCUGCAGAAUUACACCUAGAGCACACUUUUGUGUCACUAAUAAAAUGGUAGAAUAAGUGUUUAUUUAAGUUACUAGCUUUAUUUCUUAAUUGGCAAUGGAUAAUAUUCUCUUUCCUAUUUCCAGAAUUAUAAUAUAGUAGUGGUCUAAUUAAAGGAUACACGCGUGAAAGGCCCAAUUUGAAUGUACUUAACGUUUGUGAAGUUUUAAUAUUUUCAGUUUUCAGGGAACUGCAGAUCACCCUUUCCUUUAUACACUGCAAUGAUAUGUGAAGUCCUCCAGAUAUCAGUUCGUUGUUACUGCGACAAGCAAAGUAUGGAAGGUCAGGUACAUCAUUUAAUUUUGAAAUCGAAGCAAAAUAAGAGUUUAGGAUGUUUGCCUUAUCAAGUGGGUGUGUGUAAACACAGUUUUCAAAUAAUAAUGGGGAGUUUUGGAUUGGGCGUAGAAGUAAAUAAACCUAAAUCUAACAAGGACUGUUGUCGUAACAAGGGGCUUGUUUGAUUUAAUUCAGCUAUAUUAACGGGUUGAGCUGUGGAUACAGAUGAAGUUGAUCUAGCUGUUUGUUGGUUUAACAUGGCUGAUGCACUAUUCAAUGUCAGGUGAUCGGGCUGAUCAGUGUUCAUUUGCUGUUCAACAAUUGGCGUAUCAUAAAACUGAUUGAUGUCAUCUUCACAAUUGAUUAAUAUAUUUUUGUCAUCAUUUAGAUUUCUGACAAAUAUUCGACCGUCAUAUGUCCAGCAGUUUUUGAUUUUAUUCAGUUUGAAGAGUUCGUGUGUCUUUUUAUACAGCUGAGAUUUUCUAUGUGUCAAGGCUUCAUUAAUAAAGAUUUUUGUUUUA